UGAACGCUGGCGGCAUGCUUUACACAUGCAAGUCGGACGGCAGCACAGAGAAGCUUGCUUCUUGGGUGGCGAGUGGCGAACGGGUGAGUAACAUAUCGGAACGUACCGGGCAGUGGGGGAUAACUAAUCGAAAGAUUAGCUAAUACCGCAUAUCUUCUGAGGAAGAAAGCAGGGGACCAUUUGGCCUUGCGCUGUUUGAGCGGCCGAUAUCUGAUUAGCUAGUUGGUGGGGUAAAGGCCUACCAAGGCGACGAUCAGUAGCGGGUCUGAGAGGAUGAUCCGCCACACUGGGACUGAGACACGGCCCAGACUCCUACGGGAGGCAGCAGUGGGGAAUUUUGGACAAUGGGCGCAAGCCUGAUCCAGCCAUGCCGCGUGUCUGAAGAAGGCCUUCGGGUUGUAAAGGACUUUUGUCAGGGAAGAAAAGGGCGGGGUUAAUACCCCUGUCUGAUGACGGUACCUGAAGAAUAAGCACCGGCUAACUAC
rnacentral:rRNA from 1 species